UACGUAGGGACCAAGCGUUGUCCGGAAUCAUUGGGCGUAAAGCGCGCGUAGGUGGCUUCAUAAGUCCGUUGUGAAAGUCAAAGGCUCAACCUUUGAAAGCCGAUGGAUACUGUGGAGCUAGAGUACGGAAGAGGCGAGUGGAAUUCCUGGUGUAGCGGUGGAAUGCGCAGAUAUCAGGAGGAACACCAAUAGCGAAGGCAGCUCGCUGGGGACGUUACUGACACUAAGGGCGCGAAAAGCGUGGGGGAGCGAACAGGG
rnacentral:rRNA from 1 species